GAGAUUGGUUAUCACAUUAGGGAAUCAGGGUGAUCAUACUACUGUGUAACUAAGGGAGUUUCCUCCUCUGCUGUGCCAAGGCGCGACAAACCUAGAUGUUUUGAUCUGUACUGUUCAAGUUGGUGCCUUUUGUGCAGUCCCAAGAAUGCUGAAGUUGUUACAGGAGAAGUUGUACGUGAUAGUUCAGGGAGAUUAUAGGGGCUUUAAUGUGCCCUUAUGCUGGUAAUCCUAUUUUGCUGUUAUGGAACAACCCCUGGAUGCUCCUAUU